rnacentral:rRNA from 1 species
CCCUUAGAUGUCCUGGGCCGCACGCGCGCUACACUGAUGCAUGCAGCGAGUUUAUAACCUUGGCCUGAAAGGUCUGGGUAAUCUUUUGAACGUGCAUCGUGAUAGGGAUAGAUUAUUGCAAUUGUUAAUCUUGAACGAGGAAUUCCUAGUAAACGCGAGUCAUCAGCUCGCAUUGAUUACGUCCCUGCCCUUUGUACACACCGUCCGUCGCACCUACCGAUUGAAUGGUUCGGUGAAGAUCUCGGACUUCGAUAUUUAUUCUUUAUUGAGUUUAUAUUGUGGGAAGUUAUCUAAACCUCAUCAUUUAGAGGAAGGUGAAGUCGUAACA